rnacentral:lncRNA from 1 species
CCCUUAUCAUAACAGAUAGUAAGAGUGGAUUCCAGAUAAGGAUGACCCAGUGGUGUCGGUACACAACGUUGGUAUGGUUAGAUAGCACACAAGAAACUACACUUACUAUAUUAACAAUAACCUAUAUUAUAAAUAAGUAGCGCAGAACCUGCUGAUGUGCCAAGCCUAAGUGUCUUUCCAAAGGUUAGGGGAGCUAAUGCAAUUUCUGAGGCCAUAGAGAACAUAUCACCAAACCAUUUCUUCCUUUUUGUUUUUCAACUUGUGACUUGUUUUCAUUUUUAGAGAAAAGCCAACUAGCCCAAUGGGGGAGGUCCUUCUGUGUAUAUGUUUGUCUUAUUGGUUGAUAAAUAAAGCACUGUUGGCCAAUAGGGAGGCAGAUUAGGCGGGGCUAGGAGAGAAGGAUUCUGGGAAAUGUAGGAAAGGAGAGAGUUGCCAUGUGAUCCCAGGAAGAGAGGACACAUAAGGCUGUCGCCCUCGUUUCCUUUCAGAGGAAGACAAAUAGGCAUCUGCAGCAAACGAAGUGCAAUACCCUCCACCUUUGCCUGAAUUAGCCCGGGAACAUGUGUGAGAUUUGCAGGGCAACAAAUCAUGCACAGAAUAUCUGGACAUGUUUCCUAUCACUUCAAAAAACAAGUCCUGGAAACAUGGCGAUUCAAGCAAGUCCUGGGUCCCGCUUGUAGGUCUGCAAGUCACAAGUCCUGCUUGGGUCCAGCUGUAUUCUCUGUUUCUUAGAUUUUCAUCAGGCUGACCUCCAGGUGUCAGUCAGCUAGGGACUCCUCCCAGAGGCCACCCACAGUUUCUCCCCACAAAAUCUUCUCAAGGCCAACAGGAAAGUCUCUGCAGCUUGGUUGAAUCUCCCUUACCUCUCCAUGGUUCACUCUGGACCUCCUUUUAUGUGGUCCACCUAGUUAGAUCAGACUCAUGGAAGAUACGCAGCCUUUAACGUCCAGCUGGUUAACAGUCGCAGGCACUGAUUACUCUCGAGUAAACAAAGUAGGGUUUAAUUUAUUACCUACAACAGGCACCGUGACUGCAGCAUCUCUGGAUACCUGGUGUAUUCCAUGACUUCCAGAUGCAGAAGGUAGUAUCCUUGGCCGUCGACAAGGGCCCUCCAUGCCCCUCCCUUCCCUCAACUACAACUGGUAGGAUUGAUGGCACACGAAGUGUACUCUUGGAUCACUGCUAUGUUUGAGCAAUGCAUCACAACCAUUACCCAGCUGCAUGCACUAAAAUGCCUUUCCAUACAUGGGUGCGUGUUACCCUGGAAAACUGAAGGCUUUUAUUUCAAAUUGGUUUACUUUGAAGUUUUCUUUGGUGCACAUCCUACUAUGCCAUAAGAGAAGUCUAUUCCAGGUUGGGAUACUGCUCACAUUUGCAAGCAUUUCAGCACACUAAGCUGCAUUGACAGAAACUCAUGAACAUGCAAGUAGUGAAUUUUGUGUUUGUUUCCUUCCUGCCUAUCAAUGUCUUCCUUCUACUUGAUUAAUAAAUCGUUCAGCAAUACCUGAAAACCUACAUCAGGAAUGUGCUCAGCACCGUCUCACUUCCUUAUCCCUGGGAUGCUUUCAUUCAUCCAAGGCCUUUCCUCCCAUCCUCUGAACAAUCUGCUAGUUUUCCUACUAAUUUCCUGUUCAUAUUCUCUAGUUCUACAUAGCCACCAAAUCACCUUCCUGAAAACUGAAAAAAGAAACUUUUUUUUUCCUCCUGCAUGUCCUUUACAUUCCAGUGGAACAGAGUUGGCCAAGAGCAAAUAAACAAAUACCAAACUUAGAAAACCAACUACCAAACUUCCAGACAGAAGACAUGUGACAAGGAAUCAUAAAAAAAAAAAAAAAAGGAAAAGAGCCAAGAAUGGUGGCAUAAACUUUUAAUCCCAGCACUCGGGAGACAGAAGCAGGUGAAUCUCUGUGCGUUCAAGGUCAGCCUGGUCUACAGAGUGAGUUCCAGGACAGCCAGGGCAAUUAAACAGAGAAACCCUGUCUGAAAAGAAAAAACAAAAACAAAACAAGGCAGGCUAAGGACAGAGAGGGAGUGGUUUUAGAUACACUGGUGACAUGAAUGUUAUUAUCCCAGCUAAAAUCAAACCUGGUCAAAUACACUUGGGUUUAAUGUCUUGAGACACUGCAGUGACUCUUACUAGGAGAGCAUUGGGGAAGCUUCAGACUCUGGCUUGGAAGGUGAUUCUGAAAGCUAGUUAGAGGACAUCAGAAAGCAGAAGAGUCUCUGAAUGGGCAUUUUGACAUGUUCUAUGUAGAAGACAAGAACACUGUAAGUGGUCAGGACACAUGCUGUCUAGAGACGAGAACAGGGCAACACUGUCAUUGUAAAUGGCCAGAAAACAGGAGUCACUUACACUAGCUAAAAUGUUCUGCUUUGUGGUUUAGAAAACCCGAAUAUUAGAGUGUGUUAUGCCUGUCACCAUAAAGGCCAAUGGGCAGAGUUAGGAAUGAAAUGUUAAGUUGCACUUGGCUCAGAGUCAGCGAUCUGAGAGGGCAGCAGACACAUACCUUGGAAGAAAUACUGCCACAUCUCUCUGGCCAGCAGAUUACACAGGUGAAGGAUGGGGACACAGACAUUCAUUUAGGAAUCUUGUUUUGUCCCUCUUGACAGCCAGAUUUGAGCCUUGUGAUGUCGGUAUCUCUCAUUAUCACCCCUUGUGUUCUUCUCUCAUUUUAUGGGCAUCUGGCUCCAGACACUUUUUGAAAUACUCAAUUUUAUGUGUCUUGGGCAUCAACCUUGUACUCCUUCCUCUACAGGUCUCUGGGCUGGGGGCAGGGAUUAACUCAGAACAAGUCAUUAGCAGUGACUAAAAAGCUAGUAGAAGCAUGUGUGAGCAGAGUCCUUUCUACAAUAUUAGUUACAGAUGUGCCCUUGUAAUACAGAAUACAAGGUGCUUCUUUCUAUUCAUCCCUCCUGCCCACUACAAGUCUGGAGGACGCUCCUGUGUUUGACCUAUUCAGACAUGACUGUGGAGGGUUCUUUCCUUCACCUUCUCGUCACCAUGACCACAGCGGUCAUACCUGACAUUGAUGUUUGGUGACUGUUUAUGCCCAAGAGAAUAUGUGACUUAGCUGACAAUGCUAGGCCAGAUGCUGAUAGGACCAGCAAGAGAUAGCUGAAAGAGCCAGUCUCUUCUCUGUCUAUGCAGGAUUAUGGGUUUACCAGUUUUUCUUUAAUAAUCAGCUGCCAAAAUGGUCUCUAAGUAUAAUUUAUAACUCUUGCUCAUAGUUUUAUUUCUUGAAAAUUUAUCUAUACUACUCUUUAGGGUAGUGAGUUCCUACAGUUUCGGUGACUGUGUCAGUUACGUCUCCAUGGCUUUGAUAAAAACACCAUGAACGAUGCACACCCUAGAAGAGUUUAUUUGGGCUUACAGUCUCAGGAGGGUCAGAGUCCUGGAUGGCAAGGUGCAGGCAUGGCACCAAAGCUGGAAGCCAGGGGCUUAUAUGUUGAACAACAAGCUGGAAGCAGAGAGUGUAAACCGGAACUCUGCAAAGUUCUGAAAUCUCAAAGCCUGCCCCAUACCUCUUCCCUCAAGCUUCUAAGUCUGAAAUCUACCCACACAGCACCAGCUGGGGUCCAAGUAUUCAAAUGUUCGAAACUACGGGAGGCAUUUAUCAUUCAAACCACAGCAAUUCAGUGCCUCACACACCUAUUUUUAAGAGUGUCUGUAGCCUAGGCAUGCCUUCAACAGUAGCAAUUUCCUGCCUCAUCCUCCUCAGUGCUGGGAUUACAGGUGUGAACCCUGAGCUGGGGUGGAGUUAAGUGGUGAUGCCAAGCUUAGAGGAGUUUCUUUUUUAUUUUUUUGUCAAGAAGAUCUAAGUAGGUGGAGGGAGGUGGUGAGAGCAGACAGAAAAUUCCUUAACUACCCAACACAGAUAGUUAUCAUCAUAGGCAGAGUGCAACCACUAGACCAACGACAAUCUACAAUGCUGACUGGCUCAGGAAUUGCAAUAAAAUACCUACUGUAAAUUUCAGAAACUUCGAAAGCCUCAGACUCAUCUGCCCAACUCAUUUUUAAAAAUAGGAAGCUGGAGUUAGAGUACACAUGGACUCUGAUGGGUCUGCAUGAUGCCAGGACUAGCUAAAAUCAGGAAGACACUCUUGGGUUCUAACUCCACAGUGUGAUUCAACACAGUUGAGAUUCAUUCAUAUUCUAUUUUAAUUCAUGAGUAGUGUUGCACUGGAUGAAUAUUCCAACGUACUCAUUCUCCCACUGAGGGACAUCUGGGACACCCUCUAGGUUUUUGCUCUCCCACGAACAGUUGCAAUGAGCAUUUCUGCACAAGUCUCUUUGUAGACAGAGGGUUUUACUUCUCUUGGCUAACACAGCAUGUGGGGCUGAUGGGUCAAAGGGUUGGUCUGUGUUUGACAUGAAACGGACAGGGCUGUACCCUCCAACAGUUUUACAACAGCUUCUUUUGCUCAAAGAGUAGCCAAGCGGAGACAGCAAAGGAUCGGUAAGGCCUUAACUUGGCCUCUCACCAGGGAAGCUCUGGGGUCCUGGAGGACGCCCCUCCCCCAUCACCCACUAUGGCCAUGUGGGUGAUCUCUCUAGGGAAAAGGACAGCAGGCAGCGCAUUCGAUCGCAACAGUUGUCUGAAUCUCUUUGACAAAUCUUUGUCUCCCUGUUUCUUGAAAUUCCGCUUCAUUGCGCGCAAGCCCCGGAAGUGGGAUUUCUGAAUAUGAAGACUUGAAAGGGCGGUUUCUGAAAAAGAGACCAUGGCUUGCAAAAAUCUGGUGGUAUGUCUGGGUGGCGCCACGUCCCCAACCAUGUCCUUGGCAGCUCCUAAAGACACCCAGUUUUCUUGAGCCAGGUAGUGGGGUUGCAUUUAAUGGAAAGUAGAAAUUGCCAGAAACAGGAUGCACCCGCCUUCUUUCUAACCUUUAGUUUCCUUUCCGCCUCCUCCGGGGUCACAAGGAAGACAUUCCUCCUCAAGUCUCUCCUUCUCCUCUUCACUUCCACUGACCGGCCACUUUAUACUCGUUACUAUGGUUUGAAAUUUGCCAGUGCAAGAGUAUGGGUGCCACAUUGCUAAGAAGCAGGUCCUUUAAGAGGUGAUGAGGACAUUGGAGUUGUGCCCUCAGGAAAGGAGUGUCACCACAAGAGUGGGUCUCUCAUAAAAGCCACCGUCUCUUGCCCUGCCACUUAGCUGACACUACGUGAUGUCACUCCCCUUUCCAAAGCCCCCCAGAACCCAAAGCCAGAUAAACUACUGUUUAUAACCAGUCGAUAGCAUUGCUACAGCAGCAGAAGAGACUAAGGCAGCCUUCCCCACCUUCUCCCCUGUGAAAGCCAACCGCUCACUACCCUAUCAGCCCAGCAGCGGUGUAAUUUAAGAUUUCUACAGGGUCAACUUUGCCACCGAAGUCUGUCCUGUGGGCACCGCACUGACCUCCACAGAGUGGACGGACUGGGUUUCCAAGUGUCGACAGUAAGAGCGAGCUUGAAGCCCAGAAGGAGUCUGAGAAACCACCUUGCAGUGUGUGUGGGUAACUUCAUCCUGCGGCUGUGAGCAGUGAGCAACAGGUCCCUAGACGAAAGAGCAGGAGCGCUGGCGUGCCGCACCACCCUCCCGACAGACCGCACUGGCUCUCCACCGCUUCCCGAGGGGCCUCAGUUUCCCAGUCAGGGCUGAGGGGGGGGGUGCGAGCCCAGGCGGGG